rnacentral:rRNA from 1 species
AGAGUUUGAUCAUGGCUCAGAUUGAACGCUGGCGGCAGGCCUAACACAUGCAAGUCGAACGGUAACAGGAAACAGCUUGCUGUUUCGCUGACGAGUGGCGGACGGGUGAGUAAUGUCUGGGAAACUGCCUGAUGGAGGGGGAUAACUACUGGAAACGGUAGCUAAUACCGCAUAACGUCGCAAGACCAAAGAGGGGGACCUUCGGGCCUCUUGCCAUCGGAUGUGCCCAGAUGGGAUUAGCUAGUAGGUGGGGUAACGGCUCACCUAGGCGACGAUCCCUAGCUGGUCUGAGAGGAUGACCAGCCACACUGGAACUGAGACACGGUCCAGACUCCUACGGGAGGCAGCAGUGGGGAAUAUUGCACAAUGGGCG